GAAUGUUUCACACCCCACAACUCCUCCUUGCCUUCCGUGCUACCAGCCGCAAUGGGCACAAGCCACCAUUUGUCCAACCUGAAAGGGAAACCAAGAUUGGUUCAGAAUGUGGGCCAGCGUAAAGAGCGAAGAGCCUUCCUACACCUGAAUCCAGAGUGGUAAACAGGCAAAGCCUCCGGUGACCCAGGAUCUCAGCUGUGUAAGACCUGGAAAGGAAGGAGGUCACAUAACACAAGUGCAGAACAGAUGCUCUGCAUGGAGAAAGGUCCCCGAUUCAAUCCCCAGCAUCUUCCUGAUGCACCUGGGGAAGGUCCCUGUCUGAAAUCCUGGAGAGCAGCUGCCAGACACUGUAAACAACACGGAGUUUGGUGGAUCAAGCAUCAUGGCUUGGUGUCAUGGAGUUGUAGCUUGUCAGCAUCUUGGGGACACCAGGUUGGGGAAUUCUUAUCUGCACGGAUUGACAGGGGCUCUCCAAGGUUUCAGUGACUUGACCAGCACUACCUGGAGAUGCCAGGGAUAGAACAGAGGACCUUCUGAAUGGAAUUUACCACUGAAUUACAAGCACCUGCACCUUGUCAGUCAGUCACAUGCCUAUAUAAAUGCAUCCGCAUGAGCAACAAGGCCUUAUUUGGAGCACAGCCAGCCGUUCCAUAUGCUAUAGCAGACAUCCAUGAAACCAGCUGGGAAAGUCCGGUGCACGGAAUCGUAGGCGGCCAGUGUUGUCGACCUAGAGAAACAAUAUCGACUUCGUUACGAGUGAGCAGGCUCUCAGUCUGCCAGAUGCUAUUCCACAAGGGUGCUUUGGAAAAUAGUGGAAGCUCUGAAAUACAGCAUGGGCAGCUAUGUUUUUUGGGAUUUUCUGAGGCAGCACUUCUGAAACAGUGCAGCUCCACACAGGAGCCUGGACAGGCCUGGUUCAAGGCUGGUUCUGUUUUGCUGCUUUGGGGCAUCUCAAGGUAAGUUAAGAUCUUGCCUCACAAGUGGCUGGUGCCCAUGGACACUGGUGGGAGGAAAGCAGAGAGACCAAUAGUAGGGGCAGCCAGAGCUCAGUGAGAGGCAGAGCCAACUCAUUUUAGUUUUGUCCCCAUCUUCCCCAUUUUAGUUUUGUCCCUACUGAGUUCCCAUGCCCUCCAACAUCCUGAAUCCCCAAACCUGGAUAUGUGUCUUCCCACUCAUACAAGUCACAUGACCUGUGUGAGAACACAGAACCCCAAAGACGUGCUUUUUCAGGGUCAUGCUUGCACAGCACCCCAAAAUGCGUGUUUUGGCGAGGUGUGUGAAAUCACCCGAAAUAGUCCCUGUCAGUGCUUUUUUUCUGGGGGGACA
rnacentral:lncRNA from 1 species